GAAUGUUUCCCUCCCCAUUAUAAGGUUGACAUUAAAGUUUCUCCCGGAUCUCAUGCUGAUGAAGAAUCUGUGAAUAAGCAGUUAAACGAUAAAGAAAGAGUUGCUGCUGCACUAGAGAAUCCGAAUCUGCGCCAACUUGUGGAUGAGUGCCUUUACUCCAAUGAACUUUGAUCAAGCACACUUACCUACCUUUAGCAGCUGUACAUAGAAUUUAAGAAGUUGUUGUUGUUGAAUGCAGUAAAUGACUUGCUACAUAAAAUUGAUCUGCUGAGUUCAAUUUAUCCUAUGUUUGUAUGAGUAUUUGCUAAUUCUCAUAGAUGCCUUUAGGAGUCACAAUUGCAAUUGUGGAAAGAAAAUAUGGGAUACAACAUAAUGCAUCCUGUGUAGUGUAGAUUUCCCAGUAAUCUGUGGCUUGUAUCAUUCAGUUAGAACUUGGACUCUCGUUCCUGAGUAAGCCUAUCUAUCAGAUACUCAACAUUUUCUGUCAUUUUUGCGC
rnacentral:misc_RNA from 1 species